UAAAUUGUUAAUAUCUCUGAAAUGGAAAAAUCAAUUAAAAGUAUUGAUUAUUUCUUUGUGUAUCUGCCCCUGGCCAAAUCAAUGAAACAGUGCGUGCACGCUCCCUGAAGUAAUUCACACCAGACACAGGUUCCAGGUUGUUGAAUAACUUGAGGAAAGUUUAUUCAGAGGGGACGGCAAGUCCCUUUUAAAGCAAAAUUACAUCAUAAGCAUUGUCAGAGAUAACAUGGAAUAAUACAUCAAUUAUUGGUUAGGUGUUAAGUGGUUGCUCUAAUGUUCUGCCUACUGUAGGUGAUGUCACCGGGACCAUGAGGGUCUCCCACGGUUUCCCGGCGCCAUCUUGGUGCAUGAGGUAGUUAGUCGAUGUUAGGAAGGAGAAAGGGAAGGGGGGGGGGGAAAAGAGCAAGAAGCUUCUAGCAGCCAUCUUAAUUAUAACGUGUGUGCUUGACUAUAUAUAUAUAUAUCGUGAAAUGAGUAAAUAGACAUUUUUCACUAACUAGGAAAUAUGUGUAGACCUUAUUUCCACAACAGUCCCCCCUGAAAUGGCUAUUUACCAUAACAACUGCUACUGUCCCUAAUAUGUCCCUAGUUGCCUGCAACCUAUCUGUCUUAACUAGCAUCGAACACUUCACUCCGCGGGUAACCCGCAGUGGCUAGUCCACUACAUCUCCACACGUGAGACUCGCCAGUUAAGACAGAUGCUUUCCCUAUACUGUCCCUACAGGAAAGCAGUUGUCUGUUUGAACUGAUGUGAUUGAAGGGGUGUAUGUGGGGUAUCAUCUUCGAGGUCUGUGAUGUCUUGGUGUAUGAAAGUAGGGGUCACGUCAUCUAUAGUCUUGUCCACCGCUUUCUGUAGAUACCUCUGUAUGCAGGGGAAUAUGCAACAGGUCAGAAAUAAGAAAAUAACGAUCAUUAUGAGAACAGCUGUCCCCACCUGGAAGAGGGUCCUUUGCCAACCAUUCAUCCAUCCAAACCAUCUGUCCCAAGUGUCGAUGACUCCUGAAUUUUUCUUUAACUCGUCUGCAAGACUAUCUAACUUCUCUAUGGCCAUAGUCACCUUACCAUUGGGCCCAGUGUUGUCUGGAAUGUAUGUGCAGCAUGUUAUGGUCUCAGGGAGGAUUUUACAUACACCCCCUUUCUCAGCUAAAAUCAUAUCUAGGGCCAUUCUGUUCUGAAAUGUCAUUUGGGUAGUGGCUUGUAGUUGCUCUGCCAGGCCCUGUAGGGCAUCCCUAGUGUAAUUGACAAAACGCUGUUGAUUAUAGUAAAUAUAGUUAAUCCAAUUGACAUUUUUGUUAACAGUUAUCAUUGGAAUUAGGGACUCAAAUCCCGCAGCCACUUCAUCUCUUGCUUUGAAUUCGUUAGGCACCCCCCUUGGCACACCUAUGGCAUCAAUAUACACAUGGGGGUCGAAACUCCCUCGAAUAGGAGUCUCUCGUUUGAUUCUAGAGUGUGCAUGUGUGAGGUUUAACGUGUUAUGAUCACCAUCUGGAAUGAUAUGGAUAGGCAUUAUGACUUUGGUUAGGGCACACUCCCCCCACCAUUGCCCAAUUAAUUGGGACCUCAAUUGUUUAUCCCCACAUAACCAAUAGAUAUCGCCGAUUGUCUUUGUGUGGUUCAUUAACAGUGAUACAGGUGGAUUAUGGUAAGUUGAGCAAUAUCCUGAUGGGAAUUUGCCCAGAUACAACCCGGUGUUCUUAGAUAUUGUAUAACAUGUGUAAUUACCUGUGUAGAUGGUGACUCCAUCAGGUGGUUUUACAUGUCCGUGAGUGAUCGGGUAAAUUCUCUUCCAUGAUUCACAUGUCGAGGAAUUGGUGACGGACUGUGUGUAAAGGCUCAGAACACAUGAUUCUACUUCAGGAGGUAAAUUCAGAGGAACUGUGCCCAGAUGGGGCCUGGCUCCCCCACACACGUAACAAUUGGUCUUAUUGUGUGAGUUGGCAUUAUACCUCAUCCAUUCUAGCCAUAAAUUAGUGUCUGAAAAAACAGUUUCCACUGCCAUAGUGUCUUCAAAGGUGGGGUUGGCUAUAGCUACCAUGUCAUGUAGGGUCUUAAUAUGUGGUUUUAACGGGUUAACGAUCAUGUGAGUGGUCCCCACCCAGUCGGGGGAGGUGAGCAUGUCUUGUAGGUAGAAUGUCCCCAGUGCAUUGUGUGAGCCACCUCCCUUCCAGUACAUCCCCAUCACAUAUUCCCCCGCGUCCCUUGGACUAGGGUGUUCUAUGUUCAAGGUAAGUUUAAUGGGAGUUGACCCUGUGGGUUUACUAAGAGUCAUUCUAGAAAGUAGGGGCUUCCCGUCUUUGUCAAGUCUGUCUAGUGCAACCUGAGGUCUGUAGCCCCAUGGUCUACCUGUAUUCCACCCGGCAGCUUUCCAUGAACUACAGUGGUGUCCCCAAGCUCCUCCAGUCACACAAAUGUAUGGGUCCUUUUUGUUAGGUAUGUCCUUGUAUAUGGCUGCAUGUUGUGUCUGUGGGAAUGUACAGGUAACUAUGUCACAGUAAUCAAAGGUGUAUGUAGCUACAUCAGUAUCAGAAGAAUUGUACCAGAAAGUGUAAACAUGAUUAUCUUUGGUUAUGGCCACUUGUUGGGCCCAGGCAAAAUGCAACAAUAUAAGAAAACACAAGACACAUAAUAAAUUCAUGUUUCAACAAGAUCAGCUUCUCCUGGAGCAGGCACUUUUUUGCAAUGUGAAGCGUGUAUCCAGGAACUUUUUCCAGCUAGUUUAACUGACGUUGCUGUAAUCAGGAGCACUUGAUAAGGACCAUCAAAUCUCGGUUCUAGGGUGUGUUUCCUGAGGAACUUCUUAACCAUAACCCAAUCACCUGGAAGCAGCUUGUGUGUACCUGUAUUCGACUCAGGAUCUGGAAUAGAAGAAAACACUUGGGCAUGUAUCUUGGUCAAGGCAUGUGAAAGGGCAGUCACAUAGUCUACCAUAGCGUCUGACUGAAUCUGAAGCUGUUGGGGAAAGUAGCAACCUAACCUGGGUGCUGUACCAAACAAAAUCUCAUAAGGUGACAAACUGUGUUUUCCUCUGGGAGUGUACCUUACACUGAAUAACGCUAGUGGAAGACUCUCGGGCCAGGGCAUGUUAGUUUCUUGUGACAUUUUAAGCAUUCUGGCUUUCAAAGUGCCAUUCAUGCGCUCUACCUUACCACUACUCUGUGGGUGAUAUGGUGUGUGGAAUGCAAGGGUCACCCCCAGUGCUGACCAGACUUCCCGUGUUAGCGAGGCAGUGAAGGAGGUCCCUUGGUCACUUUCAAUUACUUCUGGAACCCCAUAGCGGCAAACAAUUUCUGUCAAGAGAUAUUUGGCUGUAGUCCUCGCGGUGAGAUUAGUCACUGGGAAGGCCUCUGGCCAUCCUGAAAACAUGUCCACCAUGACCAAUGCAUAUUCAUAACGUCCACUCUUUGGCAUCUGAAUGUGAUCAAUCUGGAUCCUCUGGAAGGGAUAUUGCGGCUUGGCUAGGUGAUUAGGUGCAGUCUUUAUAAUCUUUCCAGGAUUGCAUUUAGCACAUAUAGUACAUGACUUACAGUAAUUCUGUGUUAAGGUGGUGAUGCCUGGUGCUUCGAAAUAUUUGUCAAUCAGUGAAUUCAUCAGGAGUUUUGACAGAUGAGCUGGCCCAUGGGGCCAUUGGACCACCGCUGGAUACAUAUUUCUGGGUAGGCAAAACUUGAGAUUGAUAGUGUAAACAUCAUCACGGAGUACAGCUCCUUUGUUCUUCCAACUUUGUUUCUCCUGGGGAGUAGCAGCAGCUUGCUGUUCCUUCAGAAGCCUGAGGGCUGUAGGCAAUGUUUGCAUAGUAUAGAUAGGCAGUGUAUCUGUGGCCACUCUUCUGUCCACUUCCCAUCUUUGCCGUGCUGCUUCUUUAGCUGCUUGAUCAGCCAGGUGAUUGCCACGUGCUUCUUCUGUGUCUAGUCUUCCAUGGGCUUUUACCUUCAGUACUGCCACCUCAGCUGGAAGUUCCAAUGCGUCCAUCAACUCUGCAAUGGCUGCCCCAUGCUUUACUGGGGUACCAGUGGCCGUAAGAAAUCCUCUGGUCUUCCAAAUUAAGCCAAAAUCAUGUGCUACUCCCAAGGCAUAUCUUGAAUCCGUGUAAAUGUUGACACGCAACCCUUCAGACAAUUUGCAAGCCACAGUUAGGGCUGUCAAUUCAGCUUCUUGAGCAGACUUAUUUGGUUGUAGGGCAGCUGCUUGUAACACUUGACAUUCUGUGGUAACUGCAUACCCAGUGUGAUAUUGCCCUUGUUCAUCAGCAAAUCUUGACCCAUCCACAAAUAAUGUUUGGUCCGGGUUGAGUAGUGCAGCUUCAUAGACAGUUGGUAGAUGUGUAGUUUCCAUUUUCAUUUGUUCAAAGCAAUCAUGAGGGAUAUCGUGGUCACAGUCUGUGGUGAGUGGAUCCUCACAGGCUUCUGUAUGGUACCUGGGGUACCCAGUUGUACAGUAAUUAAUAGUCUUUUUGUUGAUUCUCGUAGAAGUCAGUUGUUCUGGGGUCAUUUGACUCCAGGUUUUGGCCAUCGGGCCUAGAUCUUUCCACGAGAUGUCGGGGGGUCUGGUGAGAGAUAUGUGUGGGAUCGAUGUUUCCCAAUGGUGAUAGAGAUGUGUCACACUCUCUGGGAGGUGGACCAAGAUAAGCAUGGUACCUGUGAGGUCCCAAAACAAGUCAGUCAGGGUAAUGUGGAUUUCUUUGAGUUGGAAUACUUCUGCCUCGUAAUUCAUAUCAGGGCCUGGUUCAUCCCUAAUCCACAAAGUGCAAUGAAGUAGGGCCAUUGAUUGAUCAUCAUGUGGAGGUGCAAGUGCAGGUAGUUGCAGAUUUGUUAGAACUUCCGGGUUGAUAUCCAGGCUGUACCAGUGGUACACAAUAGGGCCAUUGAUUGAUCAUCAUGUGGAGGUGCAAGUGCAGGUAGUUGCAGAUUUGUUAGAACUUCCGGGUUGAUAUCCAGGCUGUACCAGUGGUACACAAUUCCCCCCUUGGGAAGUGGCAGAAGAGUGGCCGGGUUCAGGGUUAGGCAUCUCUGAAGUUUUAUGUUAUCAGGUAAAAGCAAUGAGGUUUGCAGGCGGAGGUGGCGUUGGGAGGAAAGGUGCUUGGGUUGAACUUGUUGCAGGAUAGCAGUAAUGUCAUGGGGGGCCAACACGGUAAGGUGAUGGCCAAGCACAAAGUCAUUAGUCUUGUCCAGGAGGGCACUGGCGGCAAACACAGCACGGAGGCAAGAGGGGCUGCCCCUUGCAACAGGGUCAAGCAUACAGGAAAAAUAGCCAAUGGGCCGUUGUCUGGACCCAUGUUUCUGAGUAAGGACUCCGGAAGCAUGUCCCGAUUUUUCAGAGACAAACAAAUUGAAAGAGAGUUGAUAGUUGGGUAGGCCCAAGGCAGGAGCAGAGGCAAUAGCUCUUUUCAGAGUAUGGAAACAGUCAAUAGUUUCUUCAGUGAGGUGAAAGGGCUCACUUCGAAGUGCAUCAUAGAGAGGUUGCAUGAGUUUGGAUGCUUCAGGUAUCCAAGACCUGCAGUAUGUUAUGAGACCCAAGAAAGCAUGAAGAGAGUGAUGGGUUGCAGGUAAUGGGAGUUGCAGGAUAGCUUGCACCCGUUGUGAGGUUAGAUGUUUGGUGCCAUGGGAAAGGCAGUGUCCCAAGAAGACCACAGAGGGCCGGCACCAUUGUAGCUUUGAUUUUGAGGCCUUGCACCCGGCAGCAGCGAGGAAACAUAAGAGAUCUUCUGAGUCACGUUCUGCAAUUAGCAAAUUAGGAGCACAGAGUAGAAGGUCAUCAACAUAUUGUAGUAAAACAACAUCGAGAUGUGAUUUCUGCCAGGGAUCCAGAACCAGAGACAUGGCAUGAGCAAACUGUGUUGGGGAGUUCUGCGCUCCCUGGGGCAUAACAGUCCAAGUAUAUUGUUGUCCUUCAUGUGUGAAGGCGAAGAGAAAACGGCAGGAGGGAUCAAGGGGAACACUGAAAAAGGCAUUAGCCAGAUCCACAACAGUAAAAAUUGUUGAAGUUGGUGGCACUUGGGACAAAAGGGUAUGAGGGUUUGGAACAAUAGCAGUGUCCUUUAUGGUUACCUCGUUAACAGCACGGAGGUCCUGUACCAUACGGUAUUGGUCGGGUUGGCCCUUAACAGUUCGCUUUUUAACAGGGAAGAGAGGGGUGUUGCAUGGAGAUGUACACUUGGUGAGGGCACCUUUUGCAAGCAGGGUCUCAACUUGCUUGGUGAUGGCUUCAGCUUGUGCUGGCUUCAGAGGAUACUGAGGUCUACGAGGGGGGAGUGCACCAGGCAGGAGCUGGACCAGGACUGGGGGUACAUGUAAGCGUCCAAUAUCAUCCGGGCCGGUGGACCAAAGUUCUUGGGGGAUACGAUCCAGGGCACUGGGGGUGUGUGUGACCCGUGCAUUCCCAGUAUUGUCAGUUAGAUUCAACAAAAUUGGGAGUGAGCAGAGUACAGAAGUAUCUUUCUGCGAUAAGGGGGUUGUCAACUCAACCUGUCCAUCAGCAGUAAAGGUAAUGGAAGCCUGGAGCCGAGAGAGAACAUCGGCACCUAGGAGGUUAAUGGGGCAGGUGGAGGAAACAACAAAACGGGACAGGAUAUGUGAGCCUACAUGUAAGAGCUUGGUGAGGGGGUUACUGCGUGGUGUACCAUCCACCCCAACACAGGAGACAUCAGUGUCAGAUAGGAAGGAAGGGUCUGGCAGGUCUUGUUCCCUAAGGACACUACGGGCUGCACCUGUGUCAACUAAAAAGGUGGUUGGGUGACCCUCCACGGGGAGAACUACAGUAGCUAAAGGUCCUCCUCCAUCCCCCGCAGACACUGCCAUGGCGGGGGUUGCUGACACAGGCUUGCCAGUUACCUAUUGUAAUAAAUCUAGGUGGGCUUGAUCCGGUCCCUGGUACCGGCGGGAGGUGGAGGGAGGGUUAGCAGUAUGCAUAGGUGGGCGGGAUGGACGGAGGGCAUGGCGGGGAUGAGGUGGGUUGUCUUGGAGGUCAUCAGUAUCAUACCCUUCAGCAGAGGGCGAGGUGUAUGCACGGGCUUCUGCUGCGGGGAGCCGGGCUUGGGAAUACUCAGGAGGCGGAGGGGGAGGAGGUGGAGGAGGUAACUGAGGCAACUGUGGAUGGGGUAGGGCAGGGAGGUAACCUGUGGAGGGGAAAUUGUAACUGGUGACAUGUGGAUUUUGGUACCGGGGAGUCUGCUGGCGGAACACUCUAGGGUGUGGGCAAUCUCUUCUAAAGUGACCUGGCUGAUUACAAUUAAAGCAGGUCCGGAUUGUCGUGACAGACCGAUCACGGGAGAAAGGGAUUGGUGCAGGCAGUGUCUGGGGGGGCUGGGUGUACUGUUGGGGAAACAUCUGAGGACCCUGGCUUGGACCAGCGAAUGGGGUGGAGGUAGCAUACAUCAGAGGACUGGGUCUACGUAGUGUAGGUAGCAAAACAGAUUCUAAGCCCUUGGCAACUAGCAAAAGAGUAUCCAGUGGAAUAAUUCUAUACUCAGGCCGAGCUAAGAUUAACCCCUUACGGAUGUGUUCUCUAAGCCCUGCCACAAAGGCUGCAGAUAGCAUCUGGGUGUGUGCUUUGUUGUAAGUACUAAACCCUAAGUCUGAAAAAGUCUGAGUCAACCUAGAGUGAUACUUCUCAACUGUCUCAAGUUUGUCCUGUAAAAUGUCAUUAAUGCAAGUAGCCUGAUCUGCUAGUUUAUCCUGUGCCCAAGCUCGAAGCUGUUCACAAAAGACUUCACCAGAACGAAAGUCAGUAUCAGAAGUAAGUGGAGCGUCAUUAAAACUCCGUUCCAUGAUUGGCCAGUAUGCAUCACCGGCUUUGAUUUCACAUAGACUAAUAAGAUCCCGCCAAGCAGCGGAGUACGUUUUACGGAUCUGAGCCAUCCGGCGGAAAAAGGGCAUAGGGUGUUUUUCAGGAUCAGGGAGUGAGGUCACAAGGGUAGCAGCUUGGGAAGGGUUAAAGGUAACAUACAUAGGCGGUGCUCCAUCCGCACCAUGGUUGAUCGGGAUGUAACCUUGAGGGAUAGUGUGCUGUUGGGGGAGCCUAUUCACCCCCACCUGGGGCGAAUUCUGGUCAACCGCAACAACCUCUUCGGGCAACACUGGGCCACGGCGGAGGGUAGCCUCAGGGGUAGCUGUAGCGGGGACAACAGGGAGGGCCGUGGUAGGUAAGGUAACUGGGUGGAAACCCGAAGCCUGGGGGGAGGCACCCAUUGCAUAGGGCUGGUCAGAUGUCCCAGACACCUCGGAUCCAACCACCAUGAUUGGGUAACUUGGACUGGCGGAAGGGACACGAGGGACCAGAGCCGUGGAAGGGGCUGUCACAGGGGCCGGGUGGGUUGGGCGUGAAAGGUGUGUAUUUAGGACAUGUGCAAGGGCGGAGAUUGGAUCGGGGACUUCGGCAGGAGACAAGGGUGGGGUCGGAGGUUCGGGGGGAGGAGGAGGAGGAGGAAGAGGAGGUACGUCAAUGGGAGGUGGUACGGGGGUCGCGGAAGUAACUAGGGAAGUAACAGCAGUGAAGAGGGCGGAUAUCGAGCCGGACAGGUCAUUGGUCAUGUGUGUGUCAGGGGUCAUGGGGGAAAGGGUCGGAGGGACGGGACCAAGGGCCUGUGUCAGGGUCGGGGGGGCAGGGAUGUCGGGGGGUGGUAACAGGGGAAAAGAGGCCGGGGGGAUUGCGACGGGAGGUUGGGUUAGGGUGCUGAGGGCGGAGAUUAGGGACGGCAAAUCGGCCGCGGGAGUAGGAGGCAACAAGGCAGAGGGGGCUGGGGUUUCAGGAGGAGGUAACGCUGGAGGAGGAGUGAGAGGGGUGACGGCAAUGGGUUGGGUUAGGGCGGUGAGGGCGGAGAUUAGGGACGGCAAAUCGGCCGCGGGAGUAGGAGGCAACAAGGCAGAGGGGGCUGGGGUUUCAGGAGGAGGUAACGCCGGAGGAGGAGUAAGAGGGUCCUUGGGGAUGGGAGGGGUAACUGUGGAUAGGGGGCCGGAGGUAAAGGAACUGGGACUAACGGGCUGAACAAGAUUCAUGAGAGCCGAGAGUAGGGACGGGGGAUCUUUGGAAGAUGAGGAGGAGGAGGAGAGGAGAUGAGAAGGGGUGGGGGACAAUGGAGGCGCAGGGCUGGGGGUCACGGGGUUUCCUGAGGAUACCGGGGAGGGAGAGUCGACCGGGGGACAGGGGUCCGGGGAGACAGGGGCGGUUGGGUAGGUAGGAGCGGGGGGUGUAGGACGUAGGACGGACGGAGAGGGAGAAGGAGCGGGGACUACUAGGGAAGGGGUACUCAAAGUGGAGAGGGACUGGGAGGAGGAGGGGGAUGGAACUUCCAUGGUCGAGGCGGGAAUAGUCGGGGCAGUGUUCGGGGUGAGGACUGGCGCUGGGAAAGGUAACGGAGGGCAUGGAGGUGGGGGGGCUCCGAUGGACAUGGCGGGACGAUGGUUGAAAGAGGGGGUCUGGUCACAGGGGGGUUGGGGCAUGGGAGUGGGUGGGAACGAGUGAUGUGGCACUGGGAAAUAGUAAGCUCCGUCUACACCGAGUACAGGACAUAAGGGAGUGGGGGCUGUAGGCACACCCCCGGGGGGUGGGGUCUGAGCUGUGACGGGAGAAGCAGGGCGGGAAUUUACUGUUGCGCUCUGGGCGCCAUCAUAGGGUGGUGGCCGUGGAACAAUGGAAACAACAUCAUCAUUGUGAACACUCCUAUGGUAAACAUGCACAAUUUGUCCUUCAAAUUCCAACUCUUCCUCGACCCAUCCUUCCCGUUUCAAACCUCUGGCUACACGAUACCAAGCCUCUGCAACCUUUGUCAGUCCGUUAUCCAACAAUAAACCUUCCUUAUCUAUGAGUAGCUUUCUCCAAAACUCCGGUUGCAAUCUCCCACUGGGUAACAUCUGAAAGCCACACACCUUAGCAAUCUUUUUAAGUUUCAUCAUAGCAUCUUCCCCUGCCCUUUCUUUCACAAUAUCACAAGCCAAUAAACCUUUAGCAGGUCUAGCAUGUUCCUGCCCCAUCUUGACCAAACAAAACGUGCCACUCGUUAAUGACAGAUGGAUAGAGGAGGUAUAAGAAAGGAGGGGAGAAGGAGUGUCUACAGUGCUCGACUGCCACGAGAACUUGAGCCCCGUGCGUCUUCCCCAAACGUAGACUAGUCACGGAGAUCCGCCCACCCGGGGUGGUGGUCACGGACGGGAGCGAAUGAGCGUGGGUGACUAACACAGCUCUGGGCAACAGGCACAGGAAAGAUAAAGCACAAAAGAAAAGAUGAACGUGGCUGCGCUAAUGAGAAGACAUUUGCAAAAAUCACAAACAUAUAAAUGAGCAUAGACUCCGGAGUCCAGAACUAACCACACAAUACACACGCACACACCAAGGGUACCCACGCUGUAACAACAAUUAAACAAGAACCACAGGAUGACAGAGAGUAAAAUGGCCAUGUACAUGUUAAUGACACCAGUGCUGAAUAAACAAAGUAUAGCAAUCCUCAGCCUUCACCCACCAGGCUGGUCCCAGUAUAACACAAGUAUUAAUGAGAGCACAGUAAUAAACAAACAAAAUCCCAGCCCCACCGGCUGUAAUGCGUUCCCUGCCCGCUAGGCAGUCAAGCUAACUUAAAAUCCCAGCCCCUCCGGCUGUAAAAUCCCAGCCCCACCGGCUGUAAUGCGUUCCCUGCCCGCUAGGCAGUCAAGCUAACUUAAAAUCCCAGCCCCACCGGCUGUAAUGCGUUCCCUGCCCGCUAGGCAGUCAAGCUAACUUAAAAUCCCAGCCCCACCGGCUGUAAAAUCCCAGCCCCACCGGCUGUAAUGCGUUCCCUGCCCGCUAGGCAGUCAAGCUAUCGUCUUUUAAAAAGGGGGAAAACACACACUCCGGCCGACACACACAUUCAAACAAAUACAGGAGGCAGAUAGACAAUCGACAGGUUCACCUUAAAAGGCACACCGGAUGAGUUAAUUACCUGUCUCUAGUAGCCUUCUGGAAGCCGGAAGUGGACUCGGAGACAGACCGACACAAAACAGGAGAAUAACACAGGCAACGGCUGUAUUAUGGAGGUGAUCAGGCUCCGCUUGUCCCACUUUCCGGAGGUCCGCUCCGGUCCGUUGGUUCCGGCCCUCCGAACCGGCCCUCCGGUGGCCCCACGUUGGGCGCCAAUUGAAAUGGAAAAAUCAAUUAAAAGUAUUGAUUAUUUCUUUGUGUAUCUGCCCCUGGCCAAAUCAAUGAAACAAUGCGUGCACGCUCCCUGAAGUAAUUCACACCAGACACAGGUUCCAGGUUGUUGAAUAACUUGAGGAAUGUUUAUUCAGAGGGGACGGCAAGUCCCUUUUAAAGCAAAAUUACAUCAUAAGCAUUGUCAGAGAUAACAUGGAAUAAUACAUCAAUUAUUGGUUAGGUGUUAAGUGGUUGCUCUAAUGUUCUGCCUACUGUAGGUGAUGUCACCGGGACCAUGAGGGUCUCCCACGGUUUCCCGGCGCCAUCUUGGUGCACGAGGUAGUUAGUCGAUGUUAGGAAGGAGUAAGGGAAGGGGGGGGGGAAAGGAGCAAGAAGCUUCUAGCAGCCAUCUUAAUUAUAACGUGUGUGCUUGACUAUAUAUAUAUAUAUCGUGAAAUGAGUAA